rnacentral:rRNA from 1 species
UACGUAGGCAGCGAGCGUUGUUCGGAAUUACUGGGCGUAAAGAGUGCGUAGGUGGUUGUCUAAGUUUGGUGUGAAAUCUCCCGGCUUAACUGGGAGGGUGCGCCGAAGACUGGUCAGCUAGAGUGUGGGAGAGGGACGUGGAAUUCCUGGUGUAGCGGUGAAAUGCGUAGAUAUCAGGAGGAACACCUGAGGUGUAGACGGCGUCCUGGACCAUUACUGACACUGAGGCACGAAAGCGUGGGUAGCAAACAGG